rnacentral:rRNA from 1 species
CCUACGGGGCGCAGCAGUGGGGAAUAUUGCACAAUGGAGGGAACUCUGAUGCAGCGACGCCGCGUGAGUGAAGAAGUAAUUCGUUAUGUAAAGCUCUAUCAGCAGGGAAGAAAGUGACGGUACCUGAAAAAGAAGCUCCGGCUAAAUACGUGCCAGCAGCCGCGGUAAUACGUAUGGAGCAAGCGUUAUCCGGAUUUACUGGGUGUAAAGGGAGCGUAGGCGGUAAGGCAAGUCUGAUGUGAAAGGCCAGGGCUCAACCCUGGGACUGCAUUGGAAACUGUUUAACUGGAGUGUCGGAGAGGAAA